GCAGGUUCUAUCUAACUAAGUUUGUUGUUCAUUCCAACUUCCCACUGUGCAUGAAAAGUUACAGUAGAACUGUUUCAUGAUGAACUGUUUCAAUGAGAAGGAAGAUGUUAUUUCAUGCUACUGACACUUGCAUGGUUUGACACCAGUAUUGUCAGCAUGUGUUUUAUUCACUGGGCUGUCUGGAGUGAUCAGAGAGGAGACUAAAGAUGUGAAGUAGUUAAGUUCUGUGAUACGGCUGUGUAGUUUUUAACUCUUGUGAUAGUGAAUGGAGGAUGAUAUGGCUCAUAGUGUUUGACUUUCGCCCCUUUUUAGUUUUUGACUCCUACCCAGUUUUAAAAUAGUUUUAUUCCCGUUCUGUAAUUGUACAGCCGACUUACAUGAAUUUAUAUGUCACCCGGAACAGCCAGAAGAGGACUGGCCACCCCUCAGAGUCUGGUUCCUCUUUAGGAGACCAUGUUGAGACAUUCUCUACAUCCAGAGAGCAACAGCAGGAAGAUCACAGAGCUAAGAGGUCUCACCACUGCCCACAUUGUGUGGAGAUUUUCCCAUUUCUAUCAAAGCUAAAAAUACAUCUACAAAUACACACAGGAGAGAAGCCUUACUCCUGCUCUGACUGUGGGGUGAGUUUCGCUCGACUGGAUACCUUAAAAACACACCAACGUAUACAUACGGGAGAGAAGCCUUACUACUGCCCUGACUGUGGGGAUAGUUUCUCUCAAAUGAGCAGCUUAAAAGCACACCAACAAAUACAUACAGGAGAGAAGCCUUACUCCUGCUCUGAUUGUGGGAAGAGGUUCUCCCGAUCGGAUACCUUGAAAUCACAUGAACGUAUACAUACAGGAGAGAAGCCUUACUACUGCUCUGACUGUGGAAAACGUUUCUCCCGAUUGGAUAACUUGAAAUCACAUGAACGUAUACAUACAGGAGAGAAGCCAUACUUCUGCUCUGACUGUGGAAAAUGCUUCAAAACAUUAACUGAGCUAAAAGUACAUCAGAGAACACACACAGGAGAGAAGCCUUAUUACUGCUCUGUCUGUGGAAAAUGUUUUAAAACAUCAAAUGAGCUAAAAGUUCACCAGAGAACACACACAAGAGAGAAGCCUUACGUCUGCUCUGGCUGUGGCAAGAGUUUCUCUCACCAGAGCAACUUAAAAACACACCAACGUGUACAUUAAGGAGAAAAGCCUCAUCAGUUCUCUGACCAGCUAAGAAUAAAGUCACUCCAUCACUUAAUUCAUCUCAUAAAAGAAGUUGUAACGUUGAAUUGGAUCAAAUGAAGAAAGUAUAGAACACUAUUGUAAUCCUAUUGUUUCUCACUGUGAGAGAACUGUCCAGAGGAAAGGGAGCAUUACAUAAUGUUAGCCUCUCUUUACUUUACUGAUCAGUGUGCACCUUGUCAGUUUUAGUGUGCUUUGUUUUGUUAGCUUCUACUGUAAAGAUGUGCACUUAGUGUUGACCCUCUGUGAGGCUUCUCAUUUUGAUUUGAGAUUUGUCAGACACUAGUCUGACAAUUGACUAGGUGGUACUGCUUCCCUCUCAGCCUGGUCUGACUCUGUCUGUGCGGAGAGUUUCAACUGGGCAGCUUAAAAACACACCAACAUUUACACGUAGGAGAGAAGCCUUACUCCUGCUCUGUGGUAGGAUGGGCGUGUAACUCAAACGUCUAGCCAAAGGUUGCGUUUUUGAAUCUCAUCACAGAGGACUUUAGCAUUUUAGCUAAUUAGCAACGUGGUUACAUGUGAUCUGCAGUUGUGAGGCCGGUUGGAUGUACUGCAAAAUUCUCUAAAAGGACGUUAGAGGUGUCUUAUGGUAGAGAUAUAAAUAUUGAGUUCUCUGGCAACAGCUCUGGUGGACAUUCCUGCAGUCAUCAUGAGAAUUGCACAUUCCCUAAACUUGAGACAUCUGUGACAUUGUGUGGCCUUUUAUUGUCCCCCAGCACAAGGUGAACCUGUGUAAUGAUCAUGCUGUUUUAUCAGCAUCUUGAUAUGGAUGGAUGUUAAUAUGGAAUAUCUUGGCAAAGGCUGAAAUGCUCACUAACAGGGAUAUAAACAAAGUUGUGCACAACAUUUGAGAGACAUUAGCUUUUUGUGCAUAUGGAACAUUGCUGUUUUUUUUUAUUUCAGCUCAUGAAACCAACACUUUACAUGUUUAGUUUAUAUUGGUAGUCCAAUGUAAUGUAACCAAACAUAUUAAAUGGAGUGGCAUGGAUAAUAUAAUACGUUUUGCUCUGAGACCAGGUUGUCCCUCUGCAGUAUUCUGUGGGAAGGAGCUAGUAUACAUUUUUUUUAUUUAUUGAACCUUUAUUUAACUAGGCAAGUCAGUUAAGAACAAAUUCUCAUUUACAAUGAUGGCCUAGAUACAGUGGGAUAACUGCCUUGUUCAGAAGCAGAACAACACAUUUUUACAUUGUCACCUCGGGGAUUUGAUCUAGCAACCUUUUGGUUACUGGCCUAAUGCUCUAACCACUAGGCUACCUUCCGCCCCUAACAUGUAUCAGAUAGAGAUGGUGUGAUGAUCACUUUUCACCAUUAGUUUGGGGGGGAUUAUUUUACAACUUUAUUUAAUGAUACACAGUUUAUGAAAUGAAUACAUGUGUUUAUUAAUUGUCUUUAAAACUAGAUGAGUUAUUUUAGUUACUGAUCAUGAAUGUGUUUGGAUAACUGCAUUGAAGAAAACUUUAUUGAUCUGCCAAUGAAAAAUAAAGUUACAUGAAUAUGUACUGGUCAACCUCU